UCUUCGGUGAGCGACGGCUGCUCGAAAUCGAAGCUGAAAGGCGCUGGGCAGACUGGUUCAUCAUAUAUCUCAUGAAGGGAUGCCAAGUAUGGAUGGCACAGAGCUUCAUCAACUGCAAUGCCACAGAAGUCAAGCUUAUGUAUCAGGUAGCAGAAUAUGUCAUUUUGCAAUCUAGCAAGAUUAUGCAAGGCUGCAAAAUUACCAGUAAUCCUUUUGCUGGGAUCAAACACAAGCAUCCUCUCAAGCAAAUCCAUGGCACCACUAGACAUAGUGGGGAACCGUGCACGGAAUUGUUGCUUGGGGUAUUGAGGAAGCGACCUCACAUAUCUGCGGGCGUUGUCGCUUCGAAGAAACCCAAGGCUCGAGUCAUCAGG